UCAUAAUAUCUGGAAUGAUUUAUGGUUUAAAUCUAUAUGGCCUCUGGAUUGGACUGCGGCCGAUCAGGCUGUUGGUGAGGUAAUGGCCCACCAAACCUGAAACCGGUACGGGCUCUGAGAGGAGAAGCCCGGAGAUGGGCACUGAGACAAGGGCCCAGGCCCUAUGGGGCGCAGCAGGCGCGAAAACUCUGCAAUAAGCGAAAGCUUGACAGGGUUAUUCUGAGUGAUUUCCGCCAAGGAAAUCUUUUGGCACCUCUAAAAAUGGUGCAGAAUAAGGGGUGGGCAAGCCUGGUGUCAGCCGCCGCGGUAAUACCAGCACCCCGAGUGGUCGGGACGAUUAUUGGGCCUAAAGCAUCCGUAGCCGGUUCUACAAGUCUUCCGUUAAAUCCACCUGCUUAACAGAUGGGCUGCGGAGGAUACUAUAGAGCUAGGAGGCGGGAGAGGCAAGCGGUACUUAGUGGGUAGGGGUAAAAUCCGUUGAUCCAUUGAAGACCACCAGUGGCGAAGGCGGCUUGCCAGAACGCACUCGACGGUGAGGGAUGAAAGCUGGGGGAGCAAACCGGAUUAGAUACCCGGGUAGUCCCAGCUGUAAACGAUGCAGACUCGGUGAUGAAUAGGCUUCGUGCCUAUUCAGUGCCGC
rnacentral:rRNA from 1 species